rnacentral:ncRNA from 2 species
AGGGUCGAGAGGCGCUGCGACGGACCUGGUCCGCCACGCUCGACCCCGUACCGGGCAAGAAGGGCGCCUCCGUGCG